AGCCCCAAGACAAAAUAAAGCCCUCUCCCAUGGCAACGGGGAAGGGGAGAAAGGACAGUUCUUCCAUCAAAUGGCCUCCCCCUUAAUACCCUUUCCAUCAUUUUUGUGUGGACAGGUUCUUUUGGAGACACUUCUCUGAUCACCCACUCAACAGCAGCAUAACAAAGGAUCUACACAGGACAGCUUAGUCUGGGAUCUUCAUGGAUCCAAUCAGUAAAACAAAAACAGCAUUUACUUCCCUACUGUGUAAGUCUCCACCAGUUCAAAAGAAGGGCCUCUUAAUGGAAAAUUGAAGCCUUUACUUUACAGCAUUUGACGUAAAUAGACGAUAUAUGGAUAAAAGGACAAGCAAAUAACUUACUUCUCUGAAAUGACAGUUCACUGACCUGAGGGCAAGUUGGAACAACCCAGUGCUGCUAACUUAAAUCAUAAUGUGUGCCAGGAAGAAAUAGGAUUUCUAUACUUGGACACACUGGACCAUAUUCAUCCUCAGAGUAACUUCACAGAAGUCCAUGGAGUCACACGGGGAUGAACUGUUCAUUGUUUCUGAAGACAGAGAUCCAAUAUAGUCAAAAAAUUACAAGCAACUCAGAAAUAGUACACCAUGAAAACAUUAAAAGUAGUUCAAAAGUUUUGAGACAUGGUCAGCUGGUGAUUCCACUACAUCAAAUAUGUUACCACUUUAUCAGUUUCUGUAAAUAACUGGAAGCAUAAAAAUAUACAGUGACACUAAAUGAAGACUGAAAUUGGUAUGCAAAAACAAGCUUUAUCAUUACCAUAUUCUUCUCUGUCCUUCUCUCCAAAUAACAUUUUAAGGGUUAGAUGCUGGUGCUAUUUGUUGCA